rnacentral:sRNA from 1 species
AAAAGGGAUGGCAGGAGGAAAAAGUGCCCUGCUGGUACAACCCUCUCUCUGACAAGUUCUUGGCAACUCACACAGUUGGAUUCCUGUCAAAGGAGAUUGUCUCUGCUAAUCAAACAGCAUCAGUAGGAUAACUGCAAACAUGGAAAAUGGAGAAAAUGAAGGAACAACUAAAAUUAUUGCACCUUCACCAGUAAAAAGCUUUAAGAAAGCAAAGAAUGAAAAUAGCCCUGAUACCCAAAGAAGCAAAUCUCAUGCACCGUGGGAAGAAAAUGGCCCCCAGAGUGGACUCUACAAUUCUCCCAGUGACCGCACUAAGUCGCCAAAGUUCCCUUACACGCGUCGCCGAAACCCCUCCUGUGGAAGUGACAAUGAUUCUGUACAGCCUGUGAGGAGGAGGAAAGCCCAUAACAGUGGUGAAGAUUCAGAUCUUAAGCAAAGGAGGAGGUCACGUUCACGCUGUAACACCAGCAGUGGUAGUGAAUCAGAAAAUUCUAAUAGAGAACACCGGAAAAAGAGAAACAGAAUACGGCAGGAGAAUGAUAUGGUUGAUUCAGCGCCUCAGUGGGAAGCUGUAUUAAGGAGACAAAAGGAAAAAAACCAAGCCGACCCCAACAACAGGCGAUCCAGACACAGAUCUCGUUCGAGAAGCCCCGAUAUCCAAGCAAAAGAAGAGUUAUGGAAGCACAUUCAAAAAGAACUUGUGGAUCCAUCCGGAUUGUCUGAAGAACAAUUAAAAGAGAUUCCGUACACUAAAAUAGAGACACAAGGUGACCCAAUCCGCAUCAGGCAUUCUCAUUCGCCACGAAGUUACCGCCAGUAUCGCAGGUCCCAGUGUUCAGAUGGGGAGCGAUCAGUUCUCUCGGAAGUGAAUUCAAAAACAGAUCUUGUACCACCACUUCCAGUGACCCGUUCUUCGGAUGCUCAGGGUUCUGGGGACGCUACAGUUCAUCAGGUAUGUGACCAUCAUUGUGAGCCUGAGUUUCCUCAUUUAAAGGGUGUCCAGACCUCCAGACUUAGAAAGGGCAGAGAACUUGGAAAUCUGAGUUUGAACAAGGCACUUCAGAAGGUCUCUCAUAAUACACUUCUGGAUGAAGUGAUAUUGGGGCUGGGAUUGCAGACUCUGCUUUCUCCCUGUUUAUACAGGGUCAGCACAUGAAGUGAUGUGGACAGAGAGCCCCACCUCCUUGGCUGCUGUGGUUGGUUCAGGUAUUAACACGUGACUUAAGCUGGGCCAAUUGGAGCCGUUGUCUGGGACUUUUCUAUAUUGGAGUCAAUAGGGAAAAUUGCUGUUGCUUCUAUGUUCCUGGCACUAGAAGAAUAGCUGAGGAUGGCUGACUUUAUCUCUUGUAGAGAAAGCCUGUCUGCAAUAGUAAGAAUGAGGCCAACACAAAGAGAGACAGGGAAGAUAGGAGAGAAAUGGUGAUAUUGAGGUCUGGAUCUCAGUCUGUCUGACAUCAGUGCUAAUGACCCACUCCUUUUAAAAUUUAAGUUGAUUUGUAUUUGUCAUUUAUAUCCUGACUAAUACAGCCUUCAAAAAGAAAUAUUAGAAAAAGCACUGUCAUGAACUAUUACUUCAUUAACAUGAAAACAGAUCAUUUUGGUAUGAUGAUAAUAAAAGUAGCAACAAUCCAUUAAGCAUCUACUAUAUGUUAGGCACUGCAGUAAGUGCAUUACAUAUUUUUUUCCAUUUAAUCUUCACAACAACCUAUGUAGUACCUGUAUCAGUUUGCUAUAACUGUAUGACUAACUGCCCUGAAACUGAGUGGCUUGAAACAAUAAUUUGUUUAACUCACAAGUCUUUGUCUUGGUUGGGUAACUGUGGUCUGGACCAGGCUCAGGUGAUCAUAAAUGGGCUUGCUAAUGAGUCUGCGGUAAGUUGGCAGAUUUCUAGGACUUACUAGUCUAGGGUGGCCUCAUUCAUAGGUGUAGAGUUUGGUCACCUGGGCACACAAGAGUGGAUAUUGCCUCUACAGCAGGCUAACCCUAGCUUGUUUCAAGCAGGUGCCAAAUGAGUGAGUGGAGGCAUGUGAAUCCUCUCAUGGCUCACUCUUGGCACUGGCACGCAACUACUUCUGAAGCAUUUUCUUGGCCCAGGUUCAAGGAAUGAGGAAAUAGUCUCUAUUCUUAAUGAGAGGAACUGAAAAGUCAAGGAGAGUGGAUAUAGAAAGGCAUGGAAACAAUGGGAACACUAUUCUACUAUGAAAGGUAUUAUGUGCAUACACUUCAAAAGUUAAGAAACUUACUCAAGGUCAUAAAGCUAGAAAGCAGCAGAGACAGGAUUUGAGCCUUAAUCUUCUGACCGAAAAUCUCAUUCUCUUUCAACAUUUCUUUCUAAUAUUGCUGAUUGAUCUGUGCAGUCCAGAUGUCACAGUGUAAUUAGUUUCUAAAAUAAAUCUGUUCUUAGAUUACUUUUGAAUGACUUCUAAGUUAUUAUAAAAAAGUUCUUUGUUGUAAUAAAGGUAUUAACUUUCCAUGAAUAUAUUCUUGACCCACACCCAUGAGCAUUUUUGCUCAUAUUUGUAUCCACAAUAAAAUGAAGUUCGUAUUUUC